rnacentral:rRNA from 1 species
UACGAGGGGGGCGAGCGUUGUUCGGAAUUAUUGGGCGUAAAGGGUGCGUAGGCGGUUUGGUAAGUCUUAUGUGAAAUCUACAGGCUCAACUUGUAGUCUGCAUGAGAAACUGCCGGGCUUGAGUGUGGGAGAGGUGAGUGGAAUUCCUGGUGUAGCGGUGAAAUGCGCAGAUAUCGGGAAGAACACCCGUGGCGAAGGCGGCUCUCUGGGACGGUACUGACGCUGAGACGCGAAAGCGUGGGGAGCGAACAGG